rnacentral:rRNA from 1 species
GGAGGAUCCAAGCGUUAUCCGGAAUCAUUGGGUUUAAAGGGUCCGUAGGCGGCCUUAUAAGUCAGCGGUGAAAGUUUUUGGCUUAACCAAAAAAUUGCCAUUGAUACUGUAGGGCUUGAAUGUUUGUGAAGUAACUAGAAUAUGUAGUGUAGCGGUGAAAUGCUUAGAUAUUACAUGGAAUACCAAUUGCGAAGGCAGGUUACUAACAAAUGAUUGACGCUGAUGGACGAAAGCGUGGGUAGCGAACAGGAUUAGAUACCCUGGUAGUCCACGCCGUAAACGAUGGAUACUAGCUGUUCGGUUGUAAGACUGAGUGGCUAAGCGAAAGUGAUAAGUAUCCCACCUGGGGAGUACGGGCGCAAGCCUG